CUUCUCGCCGAGCCCGAUGGGGUUUUCUUAUCGCCUUGUGCUCAUCGCGACGCCAUCUCCUCGUCGUCGUUUCGCCUUCGAUAGCUCAUCCUUUAGUGGGGAAGCAAUUUGGCGACGGAUGAUGCAUUCUGCCACAACCCCCUCGCGAGCUCCAAUCAUAAGAACACGUGCCAGUAGGGAGUAUGCAUGGAUUCCCGGUAAACUGCCUUUUCCCAAUUUUGUGAAGUUGCGAAGAAUUAUGACGAAAAGUAGUCCCCUUUCUGCAAAGUUUGGUUUGAGUCUCAGAAACGAAGCGACGGGAAGAGUGGAACACACGGUGGGUGACAAUGAUGCUGUGAUCAUUGUGGACCAUGGAUCUCGACGGCAAGAAUCUAAUCUCAUGCUAAAUGAGUUCGUUGCAAUGUUCAAAGCUAGAACUGGUUAUCACAUAGUGGAGCCUGCUCAUAUGGAAUUGGCUGAACCAUCAAUCAGGGAUGCAUUUAAGUUAUGUGUGCAAGAAGGAGCAAAGCGUGUUAUUGUCAGUCCAUUUUUUCUUUUCCCAGGACGACAUUGGCAGCAGGACAUCCCUUCUUUAGUAGCUGACGCAUCCAAAGAACACUCAGGCAUAUCCUAUGUCAUAACAGCACCUCUUGGGCUACAUGGACUUUUGGUGGAUGUGGUGAACGAUCGAAUAAAUCACUGUUUGAGCCACGUAGCUGGCGAUGCAGAUGAGUGUACUGCAUGUGCUGGAACAGGAAAAUGUCGUAUAUACCAACCAUGACAUAUGCAUUUUGCAACCAGUUAAAAAGCCGUUGCUUUGGAUUCAAUUGGUUUUCCAAAGCCUGCAAUUUGCUUUUUCUUGACGCAUGAACUCUGUACAAUUGGGAGAAACAUUAACAUAUUUAGUUGAAGGUCACAAUGUUGCUGCUGGUUCUUAAACUGUUCAGUAUACAAUGC